UUGAAGGGUACGGAUGACGUUAUGUUCCGAAUCUGGUCAGAUCCGGAAGGAAGCAGCCAUAAGGAGCCUCUGGCGGGCAUCCGUUCCCUUCAAGCA
rnacentral:SRP_RNA from 1 species